UAAGGUCAGCCCCCUCCCCCCCCAGAGAACAUAAAAUAAACAGAGGCCAGGAGAGGGGCAGGCGGUGACCAGAGUUGCAGGGUAGGGUCUCCAGCUUAGGCUGGGUCUUAAGUGGGCUGUCAGGUCUCUUGCUUGGUUUGGGGUGCUUAAGAGUUAAGGCCAGAGCAUCCUUCCUUAUGUAAGCUCUUAGAGUUGGGGCAGGGUUCAGGAGUCCAGAUCCCAGAGUCUCAGUAUAGCCAUUCCCAGGCCUGAAGGAAGGAGUAGGGAUUUAGCCAGAGUCCUGGGGAGGAGGGCAGAUGUAGUGACUGCUCAGGUCCGCAUAUCUAAGUUCUUAGGACUCCAGUGGCAUAUGUAUUCUUAGCUCCGUUGCAGAGAUAAGGACGCAGAUACCUGGGUGUGUUAUUUUGGGCUCUUGGAGAACUCACUGCAUCUCAACCUCCCAAUGAGACUCGGAGCUUCUAAACAAGGGACACAUUCCUUCAUUCCAUGUCUGGUUAUAAACAGUCCAAAUGUUUGUUGAGGCUGAGGUGACUUCUCUUGUAGAGGAACUAGUGUGAGUGUCCAGUAUCUAGAGUUCUCAGUCUUGCCCAGGAGAAGGGAGGCUCCCUGAGCUGAGGCACGGGCUCUGCUGAGGACAGUGGCCAUCCAGUGCUGCUCCAGAGAUCUGUUUGCCUUUGCUGUGCAGGGACCUGCCGAGGCUGUGUAUUUUUGUCAUAGCUGGCCAGGAAUGUGCAUGACUUACGGUUUUUUCUUUUUUUUUUUUUUAACCCGAGGCUUCGUCAUAAAGGAGCAUUGAGACUACAGAAACCUGCUCUGUGCCUUCCACUUCGGAGGCACACACAUCCCUGGACAAGUCACCUGACCUCAGCAAGUGUCAGUUUUGCCAACUGCAAAGGGAGCGUAAAAAUAUGCACCUCAAACUGUUGUGGUGUGGCAACACAGGUCCCUCGUCCUGGCUGGUAAGCUCUUGGAGCAUGUGUCCUGUUUAUUUACGUCUGUCGAGUACCUAACACAGUCCCUGGCACGCAGCACUGGGGACUGAGUGUUGACUAGCUCCAGCUGAUUGUGUGCAGUGAAUGGAGAAUGUGGGGAAUGUGUUGGGAGCCGCAAGCCCAGCUGGGCACUCAUUGAUCAGCAGUCAGGAAACCAUUAAUUGUGUCUGAGUCUACAUCUUUCCCUACAGAUUCAGAAGAUAGAGCACUCGGCCUUAUCCUGAGAGAACCUAGAGUUCCAAAGGAUCCAACUCCCUGUUUGUGGGGAACAUCAGAGGGCUUCAUCACUUCAAUUGCCUGCCCAGGAACCUUUCUUCUAGCCUGGACCCUCACUUCUGGGAAGGGCAGCCACUCUGGGGCAGUGGGCGUCCUCAUGUCGGCUCGGCUAGGCUGGGCCCCUCUUCAGAGAAGGGGUGGAGGGGUGUGAAGGACUGGUGUGUGUGACUUUGUUUAUUUUCUCUGAAGGAUCCUGCUAUAAAAAUAACCUGCCUGGAAACCUCAUCUCUGAGGGGGAGAAAGAAGCUUUUGUAUCUGAGGAAGUGGCUCUAACUGCAGCCCUGUGCCUGCCCCUGCCCCCACCAUCGAGGAGGGGCGGCUAAGGCAGGCCUCCAGGCCCCAGGGCUGGCCGGGAGAACAGAGCCGUGGCUGUUUGUCACUGUGGCAGAACAGUGGGACCCAUUGAACCUGCGGUCUCCUGCAGUAGAAACGGCCAAAUGGCACAUGUAGAAAAGGUAAAUUCAUCUGUGGCGCUGGUGAGAGGUGCACUUGGGGACUGUCCAGGGAGAGUCAUCCUUCAGUUCACAGGCUGAGACAACCAUGUGUUCCACGGGCUACACUGAGCUUCAUUUGCCACAGCUGGAGGGAAGAUGGAGGGCAGUCCUCAUGGACGCCAUGGGACCGAGCAGCCCUCCAUGGUGGGGGUCCUCUGAACAGUCAUACCUCUCGUGGUCCUGGUUUUGUGGUUGAUAGAGCGAUAACACUUUAAGAAAUAUGCCCUGAAUGAAUCUAAAGUGUUUUUCCUAUGAGAAAAGUGUUUAUUUCAGCAACUUUGACUGCCUUCAGUUGUGAACCCAAAACUGGAGGGUCUGAAGUCUCCUUUCCCAUGGACCUUUGAGUUGGACUUGAGGCCAUGAUGUAGAGAGGACAUUAUGAGUCUUCGGGUGGCCUCUCUUUGAUUUUCCUUCCACCCUUUUCUCUGUCAGUGUACUCUCAUAUCUGAAACUGAUGCUAUGCAUAUGGGUGAGAGUUGGAAAUACUAUGGCUGAGGUGAGCAAGUGGGGUACGGGGGAAGACAAACUAGGAGCCCCUUAACAACUGAUCCCUCUGGGGCUCAAAUAAAGCUUCUUCGUCCCAAGUUCUCAGGUCUUCUACCACAUAGGGAUUUGAGGCAGAACCCUUAGUGCUGGAUUAAAACAUUUACAAGUGCUAAUCAUUGAAAGAUUGGUAUUUAAAAAAAAAUAAAGGGAGUUGUAAUGGUGAAGAAUUCAAAAGUUCCGACUUUUCCAUAAUGAUCAGUUAUUUUGACACUUAAAGAAUAUCAAAGGCUGGAGAGAUGGCUCGGUGGUUAAGAGCACUGACUGCUCUUCCAGAAGUCCUGAGU
rnacentral:sRNA from 1 species